AACCCCGUGGCCGAGUGGCUAACGUGUUUGUUUUUGAAUCCGAAGGUGACUCCCGGGUUCGAACCCGGGUAAGGUCA